AUCCAGCUGACGAGUCCCAAAUAGGACGAAACGCUCACCAAACUGGAU
rnacentral:hammerhead_ribozyme from 1 species